rnacentral:rRNA from 1 species
UUCCGAUAGGUGGUUUUACAAGUCAGAAGUGAAAUCUCUCAGCUUAACUGGGAGACUGUCUUUUGAAACUGUAAAACUAGAGGGGCAAAGAGGAAGCUGGAACAAGCGGUGUAGUAGUGAAAUGCGUUGAUAUCGCUUGGAACACCAAUAGCGUAGGCAGGCUUCUGGGUGCCACCUGACACUGCUAGGACGAAAGCGUGGGUAGCGAAUG